CGCACUGGAGUGAUCAUAGAUCAUGCAAUGUGACUAAGUAUCCAGCACCAGACACUAAGGGGAGAGACAGAAGCAUAUUCACUGAAAUGAUCAAAGAAGUAGUUAAGAACAUGACAAUUCCGGUAUCAGUAUUGGAUGUAACUUCAAUGUCAGCAUUUAGAAGGGAUGGUCAUGUCGGCUUAUGGAGCGAUAAUCCAUUGGUACCUGAUUGUAGUCAUUGGUGUCUACCUGGAGUACCUGAUAUUUGGAAUGAAAUAUUGCUCUUCUUCCUCUUUAGACAACAAGUUCAGUAAAAUGGAUAAUUGCAAGUUUGUUGCAACAUAGAAAAAGAUUAACAGGACCCUCGAGGACUGUAUCUCUCGGAGCCAAUUGCUCAUGUUUCUUCUGGGAGCUAAAGACAGAUAAAGGGGUCUCAAAUUUUGGUGAAAGUUACAAAAGAUUCUUAAUUCAUUCUUUUAUUGGUUAUUCUACGUUCUUCUUUUAUUGUAUUAUCGAUUCAAAGAGAGUAAGAGGAUAUUGUUCAAAGCUGAAACAGCUUUGUUCCACAAACUGUGUUGGUAUAAUAUGAUUUGAUUACUACUUAGCAUUGUAAUGUCUCUUUCAUGGUUAUUUCCGAUCUAAUCACUCUUUUGGUAUAAAACUCUUUUCGUAAAAUUGGAGAAAAAUUGCAAAUAUUUUACAAAUACAGAAGGGGGAAAACUCUAAUAAUGA